CUACGGGUUGCUGCAGUGAGGAAUAUUGCACAAUGGGGGGAACCCUGAUGCAGCAACGCCGCGUGGAGGAUGACGCAUUUCGGUGUGUAAACUCCUUUUAUAUGUCAAGAAAAUGACGGUAGCAUAUGAAUAAGCACUGGCUAACUCCGUGCCAGCAGCCGCGGUGGUACGGAGGGUGCAAGCGUUACUCGGAAUCACUGGGCGUAAAGGACGCGUAGGCGGGUUGGAAAGUCAGGUGUGAAAUCCUACAGCUUAACUGUAGAACUGCACUUGAAACUUCUAAUCUAGAGUAUGGGAGGGGGAGAUGGAAUUAGUGGUGUAGGGGUAAAAUCCGUAGAUAUCACUAGGAAUACCUAAAGCGAAGGCGAUCUCCUGGAACAUUACUGACGCUAAGGCGUGAAAGCGUGGGGAGCAAACAGGAUUAGAUACCCCAGUAGUC
rnacentral:rRNA from 1 species